AUUGAACGCUGGCGGCAUGCCUAACACAUGCAAGUCGAACGGCAGCACGGCAGUAGCAAUACUGUGGGUGGCGAGUGGCGGACGGGUGAGGAAUACGUCGGAAUCUGCCCAGUCGUGGGGGAUAACUAGCCGAAAGGUUAGCUAAUACCGCAUACGACCGAGAGGUGAAAGCGGGGGACCGCAAGGCCUCGCGCGAUUGGAUGAGCCGACGUCGGAUUAGCUAGUUGGAGGGUAAAGGCCCACCAAGGCGACGAUCCGUAGCUGGUCUGAGAGGAUGAUCAGCCACACUGGAACUGAGACACGGUCCAGACUCCUACGGGAGGCAGCAGUGGGGAAUAUUGGACAAUGGGCGCAAGCCUGAUCCAGCAAUGCCGCGUGUGUGAAGAAGGCCUCGGUUGUAAG
rnacentral:rRNA from 1 species